GGGGCCUUAGCUCAGCUGGGAGAGCACCUGCUUUGCAAGCAGGGGGUCAGCGGUUCGAUCCCGCUAGGCUCCACCA
rnacentral:tRNA from 3 species